rnacentral:rRNA from 1 species
UACGUAGGGACCGAGCGUUGUCCGGAAUCAUUGGGCGUAAAGAGCGUGUAGGCGGCUCGCUAAGUCUUGCGUGAAAUCUCGGGGCUCAACCCCCGAGCGGUCGUGAGAAACUGGCGGGCUAGAGUGCGGGAGAGGAGAGUGGAAUUCCUGGUGUAGCGGUGAAAUGCGCAGAUAUCAGGAAGAACACCCGUGGCGAAGGCGGCUCUCUGGAACGCAACUGACGCUGAGACGCGAAAGCGUGGGGAGCAAACAGG